UAUUUUAUAUUAGAUGUAAAAACUAAUAAUAAUUAUGAAGUAUUCUUAAAUGAAAAAUGAUUACGAGAAGGCAUUAACAGAUAUACGGCAGUUUCGGGAUACAAACGGAAUAUUUUAGGAAUAUCUAAGGUUAGCUGGGUUCUAAUAAGUUAUAAAUUUAUAAUUUUAAUAAUACAUUUCUGAUAUUUUAUAGAUAAAAACUUUGUUUUUGAAAUAUUACAAAACAUAAAAAAAAGUGGAAUAAGUCCAAAGAAAGUAGAUGAAAUCGAAGAGAUUAUGUUUGAAUC